GGUAAAAUAACAGAAAGGAAACAGUAGUCUACUUUCCUAUAUCAUUCACAUAUAUCCAAGUAAGCGCUGUGCUUCAUUUCUUCAUGGAUCAUUGAGCUCCAAAAAAAUAAUAGAAAAAAAGAUUCUCUUCUUGAGACUUGUUUCUGGUCCAAAGAAGAGAAACAUAUAAAAUGGAAGAAGAGAAAAGAAGGGAAUGUAGAGGGAAAUAUAUUAGAUAGAGAAGAGAAGACGUAGACAAAACAGUGGCUCACUUGAGCAUUUAAUCUGCUGCCAUGGU
rnacentral:misc_RNA from 1 species